rnacentral:rRNA from 1 species
GAUGAACGCUGGCGGCGUGCCUAAUACAUGCAAGUCGAGCGAACAGAUGAGGAGCUUGCUGCUCUCACGUUAGCGGCGGACGGGUGAAUAACACGUGGAUAACCUACCUAUAAGACUGGGAAAACCUCGGGAAACCGGCGCAAAUACCGGAUAAUCUAUUGAACCGCAUGGUUCAUUAGUGAAAUACGGUUUUGCUGUAACUUAUAGAUGGUUCCGCGCCGCAUGAGCUAGUUGGGAAGUUAACGGCUUACCACGGCAACGGUGCGUAGCCGACGCACGGGGGGGAUCGGGCACUCUGAAGCUGAGAGACGGCACAGACUCCGAGGGGAGGCAGAGGCUGGUACGGUACCGCAAUGGGCGAAAGCCUGACGGAGGAACGGCGCGUGAGUGAAGAAGGUCCUCGGAUCGUAAAACUGUGUUAUGAGGGAAGACCAAAUGUGUAAGUAACUAAGCACGUCUGGAGGGUACCGAUACAGAAAGCCACGGUAAACUACGG